rnacentral:tRNA from 1 species
GCCGCCGUAGCUCAGCGUGGUAGAGCAAAUCCUACCUAAAUAGGAGCUUAACUGGCUGUUAACCAGUGGGUCGUCGGUUCAAGUCCGACCGGCGGCG